rnacentral:rRNA from 1 species
UACAGAGGGUGCGAGCGUUAAUCGGAAUUACUGGGCGUAAAGCGUGCGCAGACGGUCAUGUAAGUCGGGUGUGAAAGCCCCGGGCUCAACCUGGGAAUUGCAUUCGAGACUGCAUGGCUAGGGUGCGGAAGAGGGAAGCGGAAUUUCCGGUGUAGCGGUGAAAUGCGUAGAUAUCGGAAGGAACACCAGUGGCGAAAGCGGCUUCCUGGUCCAGCACCGACGUCAGGCACGAAAGCGUGGGGGAGCAAACAGG